AGAGCGGAUUAGCGGCGGACGGGUGAGUAACACGUGAGUAACCUGCCUUAGACAUUGGGAUAGCCUCGGGAAACCGGGAUUAAUACCAAGUAAAAUCAUAAUGACACAUGUCAUAACGAUCAAAACUCCGGUGGUCUAAGGUGGACUCGCGUCCCAUUAGCUAGUUGGUAGAGUAAAAGCCUACCAAGGCGACGAUGGGUAGCCGGCCUGAGAGGGUGAACGGCCACAUUGGAACUGAGAAACGGUCCAA
rnacentral:rRNA from 1 species